rnacentral:pre_miRNA from 1 species
AGCCUUUUGUAUCCGUGCUGAGAUUUUCGUCAGCGCCCAGCCCGCUGGGGCUGAUGCGACUUCUCAAAUAAGUGAAGUG